rnacentral:sRNA from 1 species
UCUCGGAUGGCGAAGGAGCCGUCGGUGAU